UCUUAGGUGACUGAGGAAAAGUGCUAGAUUUUUAAUCUAGAAACAGCAAUUUAUGCUCCUAAGAA
rnacentral:tRNA from 1 species